GUAUCACACGAGAAAAUGCUUCAGAGAAAGAAGAGGUAAGGAAAUAUAAGUCAAUGUAAACGUAUAACGUUAUUUUAUUCACAUAUACAAAGUGGUAUGACAAAAAAGCACGAUGCCAAAUCGGGUUUUUUUCUGUUAGUUGCGAAUGUAUUCGUUAUAGUAGUUAAUUUACUAGUCCACGGGAUGUUCCCGCCGAAAUUGGAUUUCGUUAUUAUGAAUAUUAAUAAAUUAAUAUGAGGUGUGUUUUUAUCAACUUAACCACUUGGUUGUUUUUGCUUCAGAAAAGCAACUAGUUAUAAAUUUAAGGGCUUUUUGGACAACUUCGGUGAAAAACUGUUGAUUUCGUAGUUCAGUCAGCGUAACUUAUAUCCGAGAGGUCUUACAGGCGCCACAGACACCUAUCAGCCUUUUGUAAGGAGGAGCAGCUCGAGUACGGUCCGGUCCGGUCAGUGUUAGCUGCUUAGUUUCUCAAAUUACUAUUACUGAUAAAGUGUUAAAACUUAGAUGAGAUGUUGGUGUUUUAUGGCUCACGAAUUCGCAAUAACGGAUACGUAUAGCAGUUCGUGUUAAUGACAUUAAUCCAAACUUAUUGAUGACAUGAUAACAUGGGCGUCGAAUCCAAUAUUAAUCAUGCUGAGGUUUUCUCGACGGGGUAAUGUGUAUAAAUGCAGUUAUAAAAUUAAAAGGGACAAGAUAGUCGACGUGACCCUCAUGUUUCCAUGGCAAUCACUCAAUUACGCUUAUGACGCUCACCUGCGGUCAUUCGCGCAGUAUCCAUGAUUUUAAGCGGCUUGAAACACUUAAGUUAACUCCUUUGUACGAAAAUAUCAUGUCGUGUAAGUUUGCAUGUUCUAUUUGAAUUGAAAUACAUUGUAACGGUGUAAUUUUGCUUACUUGUUGAAUAGUUAGCAAGUUUUAAUGGAAAUAGAAAAUAAUGGUUAUCUAGACAAAUGCUCUUGUUUUUAGUAUAUUUUUAUAACUCUUUUGUAAUGUCUUCGUUAUCAGAGCCCUUCAAAUUAGAAUAGUGAGGAUGAUCUUGUCAAUGCUGAGAUUUUCAUGCAUCAACAGCCACUACAUCUGGAUCAGAUUGAACAAGAAACAGACAGCAAGGGUUGUCAGGUCAGAAACAGAAUGACACACAAACACAAGAAACUUCACAGGCAGAUCAACAUGCAAUUUGAAGACGUGUGAUAAAAUACAGAGAGGUGAAGUAGUGUGUCUUUCCAGAUCCCCAAAUCAUUCCUUCUUAAAAGAUGAGCCUGAAGAGGAGAUUUGGGAAGAUGCUGUUUCGUAAGUCGCUUUGCCAGAUCACCUGUGGUCGGGAUGUCUGCUAACAAGAUGCCUUGCUGGUCUGGGCGAGUUUAAAGGCUUACACAGACAAUCCAGAAGUUCUGAAGUCCAUCUUUGAUUUCAUUGAUGCUGUCAUCAUAUUAAGUACAGCAUGAGCCAGAAUAGAUGGGUGGUGGUGGCCAUAAGAAGACUGUCAACUAAACCAACAACAAAAUUCAUAUUUGCAGUUUUUCUUGAAUAAAGUUUUUCUAUUCAGAUUAAUAAAAUGACUUUUAAACAUGA